CAAACAGAGAGCAAAAAGACAGCAGAUGAGCAGUGGCAGGGGGAGAAGAGUUCCGAGUUCCUCCCCUACCGGCCGCCCUCUUAUCAUUCCUCCCCCGGCGAGAGGGAAUCUUGGGAAUCUCCUCCAGCAACCCACCUCACGUCGACUCUUUGAAUCCACCGCGGUCCUGCCGCUUCUAUAGAACUAGUUUUUUCACUUUCGUGCGCUACAAAAAUCUUCUCUUUUUUUAUACAGAAAAUAAGUGGCGACGAUGGUGACAGGCUUGUGUUGGGGGUUCAUGCGCACUUCCGCAGCUACUUAGGUAUCAGGUCGCGAGGGUCGAGCGCCAGCGCUCCAUUCCCCCCGGAUUGGAUUCUGGUUUCUUCGUCCAAGAAUUACCCGAGGAAUCGAAAUUCUUUGUGUUUUGGUUCAGAAAGAUUUGAUCUUGGGAGGAGAAAGGUCAGGCAUGGAUGAGAAUGGGACACCAGAUUACAGCGACGGGGGCUCGGACAUGGACCUGCUCAUGCUCUCAGGGUUUGAUGACCUUGACAGUUUCCCAGAGCUCGGCGCCGGUCCUUCAUUUAGUGACGGUAUCUUGUCGUCUUUCAGUGUUUCACCUGCGCAGCAGGUGACACAUAUCUCACCUUCACAACCUUCUGUGGAUGCUGAGGAGCAAGGUGAUGUUUCCAUUACUGAUGGUAGUGAUUGCUCUGUCAGUUUAGCCUCUAAAGAGGUCAUGAAUGUGAGCGCUUCCACUGUCCCAAAGACAGUUUAUGGCGGCGUCACCCUGACGGAGAGGAUGCUCAGGGCAUUGGCCAUGCUUAAAGAAGCAUCAACUGCUGGGCCAGUCCUUGUGCAAGUUUGGAUCCCUGUAAGAAAUGGAGAUCAUCAAGUGCUGACCACCUCUGACCAGCCUUUCUUGCUUGAUGAGAGGCUCACAGGGUACAGGGAAGUCUCUAGGCAGUUUACAUUCUCAGCCACAGAAGGACCUGGUCUGUUUCCUGGAUUGCCUGGGCGUGUUUUCAUAUCCGGUAUGCCAGAGUGGACAUCAAACGUGAUGUACUACAACACUUCAGAGUUCUUGAGGGUAGACUAUGCAAUUCGCAAUGAAGUCCGGGGAUCCCUUGCCAUGCCGGUUUUCAACUCAAGUGGCGGCUCUUGCUGUGCUGUGUUGGAAGUAGUCAUGACACAGGAAAAGGAUAACUUUUGCUCAGAGAUGGACAACCUUUCUAAUGCUCUGCAGUCUGUUCAGCUGAGCACUGUGCGAGCAAGGACACAUCCUCAGAGCCUUACUAGGAAUCAGCAAUCAGUAUUGACGGAAAUAUUGGAUGUUCUCCAAGGUGUUUGCCAUACACACAUGCUACCUUUGGCACUUGCAUGGAUUCCAGUUUGCCCCAACAGCAGUUUGAAUGUGUCAGCAGAGUAUGGUGACCAGGCUAUAAAGUUUGGUCUGAGGAAGAAAGAUGUCCUUUGCGUACAAGAAUCUGCCUGUUACAUCAAUGACAUGAGAAUGCAUGAUUUUCUCCGUGCCUGUGCAGAACACCCCCUUGAGAAAGGACAAGGUGUUGCUGGAAAUGCAAUUUUAUCAAAUCAUCCCUUCUUCUCAUCUGAUGUGAGAGAAUAUGAUAUGCAUGAUUAUCCGCUGGCACAUCAUGCCCGUAAGUUUGGUCUUCAUGCUGCUGUUGCUAUCAGGUUGCGUAGCACAUACACUGGCGAUGAUGAUUAUGUGUUAGAGUUUUUCCUUCCACUGACGUGCAAAGUUCGUGAAGAACAACAGCUCUUACUUGACGACAUCUCAAUAACCAUGCAAAGAGUAUGCAGUAGUCUGAGAACAGUUUCAGAUGCUGAACUGAAGGAAAACACCACAACAAUGCGAUCAGAAAUAAGAUGCUCAUCGUCUGAUGUUUCUAUUAGUUCAUGUAACCAAAUCGAUGUAUCCAGUGAAGUCAAAAUAAAUGUGCUUUUAGAAAAUCAGAUAAGAAACAGUGUUGAGCAACUGGCGGAUAAAAAAUAUGCUAAGUUUGAACCUGGCACUACAUCUCAAAAUUUUGAAAACUGCAGCUCAACAGGGAAGAAUGUUAGCUUGACUGUCCUUCAGGAAUCUACAUCUGAUGGGCUGAAAAUACGCAGCUCAACGGAGAAGCAUGUUAGCUUGAAAGUCCUUCAGCAAUACUUUGCUGGCAGUUUAAAAGAUGCUGCAAAGAGCAUUGGUGUUUGUCCUACAACACUGAAAAGGAUAUGCCGGCAGCAUGGAAUAUCAAGGUGGCCAUCUCGUAAGAUAAAGAAGGUAAAUCGGUCACUAGAGAAGAUUCAGAAUGUGAUAAGUACUGUACACGGAGUGGAUGGAGUGAUAAAAUAUGAUCCUGCCACUGGAUGUAUUGUUUCAUCUGUUUCCCAUACCGAAGAGCCUCCGAUAAUGAAUGUUGAACAUCGAAGUUCUGAUUCCCUGCCCACUGAAUGCCGUAAGUUCCAACCUGAUUAUGAUGCAUACCAAAGAGAACAUCUAGGCCAAGCUGUACCCCACAAAGCACAGAAUGAGAAAAGGAGCGAAACCCAUAUUAACCUGAAUCCUGGAGGGUUAUCUCGAAAUUCACAUUUUGGUAGAACAUCAAAAGGGUCAGAGUGUCAGGAUGCGUCAAACGGUUCAUAUCUUACAAAAGAAAUGAUCUGUCCUGGCGGUAUGGAGAUGUGGGUUGAGGGAGCUGAGCAAAAGAAUGUAUUGUGGAAUUCUGUUUCUAUGCCACAGCAAUGCAAAAUUGAGAUAGAAACAGACAAGUCUAAUGCGAUUGUUGAGCAAAGCCUGGCAUCUUCUUCCAGCAUGACAGAUUGCUCCAGUGGCGGUACAUCGAGUGAUGGGACUUUGAAGAAAUGCUUGAAGAGUCGACCAGUUGAUGGAAGCAAUGCGAGCAUAGUUGUGAAGGCCGCUUACAAGGAUGACACUGUAAGGUUGAAAUUACUACCAUCCAUGAAAUACCAGGAUCUGCUUGAAGAAAUCGCAAAGAGGCUGAAGCUAUCAGUUGGCGCAUUUCAGCUCAAGUACAAGGAUGAUGAGGAUGAAUGGGUGAUUUUAGCGAGCGACGCUGAUCUCCAGGAAUGCCUUGAUGUACUAGACACCACCGGGGCACGCAUCAUGAAAGUUCAAGUACGAGAUGUUCCAUGUGCCACCGGAGCUUCUUCGGGUAGUAGCUUUAUAUCUGGUCGAUAGGUCAGGGUGAUGCCGCAUGGUGCAAAGCACAGGUGUUUUACUCAUGACACAUCAUGGCUUUAGCGUGGCGCCGAUCUGAUCUAAACUGUUGCCAAGGGGUUCAACAAUGUUUCUACUCAAGCUGUUGGCUAUCUGGAACUAUAUAGCUGUUGAGCACACCGCUUACCUGAGUGGGCUACUCUGGGUCUCAGAUAGGUUUUGCCUGUGGUAGUUUUAUUUCACAUUUGUACAUAUUUUUGCGGAUGUACCACUAGUAUACCAGUGAAUUGUGGCAGUACACAUGCACACUUCAAAAAGGGGGAAAGGAUCCUGAGUGUACAAGCACUUAUUAUUUCUGAAGUUAUCAAGCCAUCAUGCUUUUAAGUGUACGAGUAUGUGGCAGUUUCAUGUUAGUGUUGCUGAUCUG
rnacentral:rRNA from 1 species